rnacentral:misc_RNA from 1 species
ACAAAAUUCUUACCCACUGAGAAGAGAAAGAUGUGAAAAUUAUAUAUGAAUAAAUUCAUUGUUAUCAUCAAAAUUUAGACAUUAGUUAUUACCAUAAUCAUCAAAACUAUUAUUGAUUUUUUAGGAAAUUCUUUCUUUUUUUUUACAGUAAUAUUGCGCAUAUUGCUUGAAUUUGUUUGUCAUAAACAUAUAUAUGUCAUCAUAUGUUAUAGAAAAAGUCUAUAUCAUUCUGUACAUUUUAGAUAUAUAUUGUUAAACUUAUCAUGUUAAUUUUGUCACACUUAGGUAAAGAAUAAGUGCAGGAGCUAGUUUACUAUCCAGUGUUGAAGUCUUCUAUAAUUGUUGAUUUCAAACGAAGGAUGAAAUAAAAAUAUUGUGAUGAAUUU